rnacentral:pre_miRNA from 1 species
AGCCCCUUGUAUCCGUGCUGAGAUUUCAUCAGAGAUCAACCCGUUGCGGCUGAUGGUACUUCCCAAAUAAGUGAAGCG